rnacentral:rRNA from 1 species
AGUGAACGCUGGUGGCGUGCCUAAUACAUGCAAGUCAAACGGAGUGGCGCACGGGUGAGUAAUGUAUAGCUAAUCUGCCCUACACUAGAGGACAACAGGUGGAAACGACUGCUAAUACUCUAUAGUGUAGGAUGAGGGUAUAUUGUAUCAGCUAGUUGGUGAGGUAAUGGCUCACCAAGGCUAUGACGCAUAACUGGUCUGAGAGGAUGAUCUGUCACCCUGGACGUGAGACACGGUUCAGACUCCUUCGAGAGGCAGCAGUAGGGAAUAUUGCCCAAUGGGGGAAACCCUGAAGCAGCAUCGCCGCGUAGAGGACUACACUUUUCGGAGCGUAAACUCCUUUUGUUAGGGAAGCGGUACCUAACGAAUAAGCACCGGCUAACUCCGUGCCAGCAGCCGCGGUAAUUC